AUACGUUAUUCAGAGUCAUUGUGAUUAUUGUUGAGAUCGCAGUGUUCGUUGCUCCUACUGUCGUUCUUCUUCAGAUCAGCUGUGUUAAAAGAGCUGGCAGGAAGAUCUCUCGCCACCCAGAGGAAAUAGAGAUGCCUACAGUAUUACAAUAACGUACUCUCAUAAUACUACUUAUUUUCAUAUUUGUAGAUAUACGCAUACAGCUUUCGGUGUUAUUUUUACAGCGCUUUUUAUUUUACAGAAUGCUUUAAAUAUUAAAUAAACCGAUACAUGUGCGAUUAUUUACGCAAAAAUGUAUUUUUAUAUUUAAAAUAAAUUAAAUUUAAGUGUUUUAUUGAUCCAGUUUUUUAUUCACAAUAUAUGCUGCAGAUAUUUACAAAUGCUUUGUUUCCUCUUAACCCUAAAUAGGAAAAUACUGAAAUAAUUGUAUUCCGCAUCAACAUACUUCAGCAUGAUUUCUUGUUAAAGCUACGGUUCAAAGGUUUUGCUUCUGUCGCCAUCUAUGUUUAAAAACCUGGUAUUGCAGUUUCUUGCUGAAUUAUAUUUCAUAUGUGGGAUAUAAAAAAAGCGCUCCCUUCAAACUGGUUUUCUUUAAAAUAUAAAUUCUGAAGCAAUCCUUCUGAC